GAUGAACGUUGGCGGCGUGCCUAAUACAUGCAAGUCGAACGAAGACUGUAGUAAUACUGUCUUAGUGGCGAACGGGUGAGUAACGCGUGGGUGACCUGCCCCGAAGUGUGGGAUAACAGUCCGAAAGGAUUGCUAAUACUGCAUAAUAUCCAAGAGAUUAGAUGCUUUUGGAUUAAAGGAGUAAUUCGCUUCGGGAGGGGCCCGCGUCCCAUCAGCUAGUUGGUAAGGUAAUGGCUUACCAAGGCGAUGACGGGUAGGGGACCUGAGAGGGUGGCCCCCCACAAUGGAACUGAAACACGGUCCAUACACCUACGGGUGGCAGCAGUAGGGAAUAUUAGUAAUGGGCGAAAGCCUGAACUAGCAACGCCGCGUGUGCGAAGAAGGCCUUCGGGUCGUAAAGCACUUUUGAGAGGAUGAGGAAGGACGGUACUCUCAGAAUAAGUCUCGGCUAACUACGUG
rnacentral:rRNA from 1 species